rnacentral:lncRNA from 1 species
ACCCUAACAAAGAAAUAAUUUUUGCCAUUCAUGAUUUAUGUGAAGUCAAACGGAAGGACUUCCCUAGAUGAAAAAAAAAAUAUUUAGGCUUCCAGGAGUCCCAGAUUUACAGGAGUCAUAUGCUGACCUUGGAACCGCUGUGCAGUUGAGCCAUCAAUAUAUGGAUAUGUUGAAAUGAAUGAAAAUUUCUUUAAAAUUCUCUCCAUGAAGCUUCAAUUAUUUAAGAGUU